rnacentral:rRNA from 1 species
GGCCUUACGGGCUGGGCUACACACGUGCUACAAUGGCGGUGACAAUGGGAUGCUAAGGGGCGACCCUUCGCAAAUCUCAAAAAGCCGUCUCAGUUCGGAUUGGAGUCUGCAACUCGACUCCAUGAAGUUGGAAUCGCUAGUAAUCGUGGAUCAGCAUGCCACGGUGAAUACGUUCCCGGGCCUUGUACACACCGCCCGUCACACCAUGGGAGUUGGUUCUACCUGAAGGCAGUGCGCUAACCCGCAAGGGAGGCAGCUGACCACGGUAGGGUCAGCGACUGGGGUGAAGUCGUAACAAGGUA